CCAUCGGCCGCCGGCAUACCCUAGCCGUCGCCGCACCUAGCGGUGGCUACCUUGGCCCCUUCCACCGCCGCCCUCAACCGCCUGCGCCCGGAUUACUCGGAUGCGUCUCCACGUUUCACUUUCCGUUCCAUCUCUCUUGUCUCGAUUCGUCUCCAUUUGUCGGGGUUUCCUCGCAUUGUAAUUCGUUUUGCUGAUGUCUUGUUUGAUACCAGACGGAGGUUUCGACUGAUUAAUCGUCUAGGGUUACUGAGGGGGCUCUUGGGCAUUUGAUCGAUGACGUCGUGGUGCUCAUCGAGGUUAGGGUUCUGUGGACCUUUUUGAUGUUUAAGAUUAUGUUGUUAAUUGUUCUUUUUUAGUGACUUUUCUGUUCAUGAAGGAAUUUAUCUCAUGCGAAUUACUUAAAAGUCAGCUUUAAUAUUUGGCCGAUUUCAAAGAAGGUACAUCGCGAUUAUUAUCCAUGUCAUAGCC
rnacentral:lncRNA from 1 species